GAUGAACGCUGGCGGCGUGCUUAACACAUGCAAGUCGAACGGAAAGGCCCAAGCUUGCUUGGGUACUCGAGUGGCGAACGGGUGAGUAACACGUGGGUGAUCUGCCCUGCACUUCGGGAUAAGCCUGGGAAACUGGGUCUAAUACCGGAUAGGACCACGUCUUGGAUGUUGUGGUGGAAAGUUUUUUCGGUGUGGGAUGAGCUCGCGGCCUAUCAGCUUGUUGGUGGGGUAAUGGCCUACCAAGGCGUCGACGGGUAGCCGGCCUGAGAGGGUGUACGGCCACAUUGGGCCUGAGAUACGGCCCAGACUCCUACGGGAGGCAGCAGUGGGGAAUAUUGCACAAUGGGCGCAAGCCUGAUGCAGCGACGCCGCGUGGGGGAUGACGGCCUUCGGGUUGUAAACUCCUUUCGCUAGGGACGAAGCGUUUUUGUGACGGUACCUGGAGAAGAAGCACCGGCUAACUACGUG
rnacentral:rRNA from 1 species